rnacentral:rRNA from 1 species
GAUGAACGCUAGCUACAGGCUUAACACAUGCAAGUCGAGGGACCGGCGCACGGGUGAGUAACACGUAUCCAACCUGCCCUUUACUCGGGGAUAGCCUUUCGAAAGAAAUAUUAAUACCCUAUAUAAAGGAUGGGGAUGCGUUCCAUUAGGUUGUUGGUGAGGUAACGGCCCACCAAGCCUUCGAUGGAUAGGGGUUCUGAGAGGAAGGUCCACCACGUUGGAACUGAGACACGGUCCAAACUCCUACGGGAGGCAGCAGUGAGGAAUAUUGGUCAAUGGGCGUUAGCCUGACCCAGCCAAGUAGAGUGAAGGAUGAAUGCUUAUGGGUCGUAAACUUCUUUUAUAAAAGAAUAUGUAGUAUAUGAAUAAGGAUCGGCUAACUCCGUGCCAGCAGCCGCGGUAAUAC